AGGGAGAGAGGGAGAGAGGGAGAGAGGGAAACAGGUUUCAUUUAAUGAGGGUUCAAUUCUUGCUGCUGUCUGUAAAAAGUUUGUACGUUUUUCCAUGACCUCCUGCAUUUUCUCAGGGUGUUCCGGUUUCUUCCUACAGUCCAAAGAUGUAUUAAUUGAUAGCUUAAUUGUAAAUUGUCCCAUGAUUAGGCUAAGGCUAAGUCCUGGGUUACUCAGCAGUGCAGCUCAAAGGGCUGGAAGGGCCUACUCCACGCUGUAUCUUAAUAAAUAAGCCAUUAUCAAUACUCUUCAGAGAUUGUCUGCCUGGUGUCAGGGGUCGCAUAACCAGGACUUGGCUUAACGUGACCCUGAUCGAGGGGCUGAGCAGGUGCUACACCUGCAGAGGUGACCUGCAGAGUAGCGGAGGGAAGGAGCACCUGACACCUCCUUUGAUAGAGACGUAUCUCCAUCCUGCAAUACAGCCAAGUGAACCCUUCUAUCCUUCAACUUCAAUGAGGUUCAGGCAUCGUAACUGGGAACAUGAACAAUAACACAAUGGAACACGCUCCUCAGCGAGGAACUUCUACAUAACCGUCAUAUGCGGGGGUGGGGAGUGAUGUCUCUCUCUGAACAACUUUCAUGUUCUCGCUUUGUUUCACGGCUAUCUGGAGAAGGCAAAUUUCAGAGCUGUAUAUGGAUAUAUGCCUUGAUAAUACAUGAAGCUUUGAACAACCAAGUUUCAAUUAUGAAAGAAUUCAUGUUAAAAUUAUGUGAAUUUGUCUUCAAAAUGAUAGUGUUUUUUUGAACUUUUCUAUACUCCAGCCUACAUUCAUCCCUUAACCUAAGAUCACCAAAUCUGGUUGAUGGGUCAAUACCCAAAAUGGUCAGUGUGGGAGCUGACUGUGGACCAGUUCCCAGAGCUCCUUUGCAGGUGGAGGGGGAAGAGAGACGGAAAAGGUGAACAGGGGUUGAGGGUGGACUGAUGGCGUUGGGCCAGGGGAGUGGGCUACCUGUCACUGGAAGGUCUCUGUACAUUCUCCAUAACCACGGUUGGGGGGGGGGGGGGGGGUCCUGCCACAUGCCAAAGACGGAAAGCUCCACAAGUAUGAUUUAGUAAUUGUGGGCUUGUUAUGUGGCGCGGGAAACAUGAAAAUACUUCCAGGCUGCCCUCAACUCGUCCUUGGACUGCACUGUUUGUUGACGCAAACACAUUUCACUGUAUGUUUCAACGUGCGUGUGACAAAUAAAGCUACAUCUUUAUGAAAUUGCUCGGUAGCUCAAGCAGAGCCCGGGACGGAUAGAGUUAAUGCAGGUCUUUCGAACGUUCCGUUUUUAUGGUAGAUUUACAGCGUCUGCAGUAUGUUGCUUCAGCUUGGUUAAUUCAAAUCCGUGUAAUAUUCUAACAUUAUUACACCGUGAGGUCAAGAAUCCAUCUUAUCAUACCCGGGGACCGAUUCAUCAUCUUACAACAGCAGAGUAGGAGCUUGGUGAUGACACCUGACCAGCUGAUUCACGAUGCCUCCCGAUGAACGGCUGCAUCCGGGACCUUGGUUGAACAUUACUUCUGGGUGAUCACCUCUCCAAUCCUCCCACCUCACAAUACCCUUAAGAACCAACAUGCCACUGUUACAGAAUGGCCAAAGGCUUCGAUUGGACAUAAUGCCCUGUCUUCCUCUGGAGCAGCACUGUCAGGAGGCUGGGACGAUGAAAGGUCUCUGCCCACAAUGUCAGCUGUUUAUUCCUCCCUAUAAGUGCUGCCUAACCUGCCUGAGUUCCUCAGCACAUUGUGUGCGUUGCUCUGGAUUUCCAGCUCUUGUGUUGAAGAUGCUAUCUCGAGAUAAGGCACCAGUCCUGGUACUUAGCACUUUCUCUGAGAUACAGCACAGUAACAGGAUCUUCUGGUCCAAUGAGCCCACGAUGCCUAAUUACACCCGUGUGAUCAAUUAACCUAAUAACUCAUACAUCCUUGUACUGUGGGAGGAAACCAGAGCACCCAGAGGAAACCCACAUGGUCACGGGGAGAGCAUGCAAACUCUUUACAGACUGCAGUGGGAACUGAACAUGAGUCAUUGGAGCAAUGAAAUAUUAUGCUACUGUGUCACCCUUACAUUAAUAUGAUGGGAAGAAUAUGGAGAACCAGCAAGUGAGUCACUCCCUGCAGGAUACCCAGCUUUACAAGGUACUGAGACAUAUCGGAGUCAAUAAAGGCAUUUCCCCUCUGAAGCCAUUAUAAAUAUGUAAGUCAGAUGUAGAGCUUGUCAAAGCAGACUAAUUACUGUCAAGGGAAGUCAAAUCAAAGGAGAUAUAAAUGCAGGUGUAAAUGUAUCACAAAUAACCACUGCUGAUGUUGGAAAUGGGGAAGGUGGGUAAUACUGUGACUAGUAAUAAAUAUGGUACUAGUUCUGUUGUGACUAGUAGAUUCACCUCACAAUCUACCUUGUUAUGAUCUUUACAUCUUAUUGUCCGCCUGCUCUGCACUUUCUCUGCAACCGUUACACUUUUUAUUUUGCAUUUUGUUAUUUUUCCCUUAAUACACUGUUGUAAUGAAAUGAUGUGUGUGGACAGCAUGCAAACUAAAGUUUUCACUGUACCUUGGUAUAUGUAACAAUAUUAAGGCAAUUUACUAACGUACCAAAUGUUUCUGACAUGUGGAUCACCUGGAAACCAAGGUCACAUGGAAAGAAACCUACAUGGUCACAAGGGGAAACAUGCAAACUCCACACAGACAGCACUGAAGGUCAGGAUUGAACCUGAAUCACUGGAACAACGUAAUGCCUGAGGAACUCAGCAGGCUGGACAGCAGCUAUGGAAAUCAAUGAACAUUUGAUCUUUUGGGCUGAGACCCUUCUUUAGGACUGGAAAGGAAGGGGGAGGAUGCCAGAAUACAAAGGUGGGGGAAGGGGAAGGAAGAUAGCUAGAAAGUGAAAGGCGAAGCCAGGUCAGUGA